AGUGAACGCUGGCGGUAGGCCUAACACAUGCAAGUCGAACGGCAGCACAGUAAGAGCUUGCUCUUACGGGUGGCGAGUGGCGGACGGGUGAGGAAUACAUCGGAAUCUACUUUUUCGUGGGGGAUAACGUAGGGAAACUUACGCUAAUACCGCAUACGACCUACGGGUGAAAGCAGGGGAUCUUCGGACCUUGCGCGAUUGAAUGAGCCGAUGUCGGAUUAGCUAGUUGGCGGGGUAAAGGCCCACCAAGGCGACGAUCCGUAGCUGGUCUGAGAGGAUGAUCAGCCACACUGGAACUGAGACACGGUCCAGACGCCUACGGGAGGGAGCAGUGGGGAAUAUUGGACAGUGGGCGCAAGCCUGAUCCAGCCAUACCGAGUGGGUGACGAAGGCCUUCGGGUUGUAAAGCCCUUUUGUUGGGAAAGAAAAGCAGCAGGUUAAUACCCCGCUGUCCUGACGGUACCCAAAGAAUAAGCACCGGCUAACUUCGUG
rnacentral:rRNA from 1 species